GGGUUGUGAGGUUAAGCGACUAAGCGUACACGGUGGAUGCCCUGGCAGUCAGAGGCGAUGAAGGACGUGCUAAUCUGCGAUAAGCGUCGGUAAGGUGAUAUGAACCGUUAUAACCGGCGAUUUCCGAAUGGGGAAACCCAGUGUGAUUCGUCACACUAUCAUUAACUGAAUCCAUAGGUUAAUGAGGCGAACCGGGGGAACUGAAACAUCUAAGUACCCCGAGGAAAAGAAAUCAACCGAGAUUCCCCCAGUAGCGGCGAGCGAACGGGGAGCAGCCCAGAGCCUGAAUCAGUGUGUGUGUUAGUGGAAGCGUCUGGAAAGGCGCGCGAUACAGGGUGACAGCCCCGUACACAAAAAUGCACAUACUGUGAGCUCGAUGAGUAGGGCGGGACACGUGGUAUCCUGUCUGAAUAUGGGGGGACCAUCCUCCAAGGCUAAAUACUCCUGACUGACCGAUAGUGAACCAGUACCGUGAGGGAAAGGCGAAAAGAACCCCGGCGAGGGGAGUGAAAAAGAACCUGAAACCGUGUACGUACAAGCAGUGGGAGCACGCUUAGGCGUGUGACUGCGUACCUUUUGUAUAAUGGGUCAGCGACUUAUAUUCUGUAGCAAGGUUAACCGAAUAGGGGAGCCGAAGGGAAACCGAGUCUUAACUGGGCGUUAAGUUGCAGGGUAUAGACCCGAAACCCGGUGAUCUAGCCAUGGGCAGGUUGAAGGUUGGGUAACACUAACUGGAGGACCGAACCGACUAAUGUUGAAAAAUUAGCGGAUGACUUGUGGCUGGGGGUGAAAGGCCAAUCAAACCGGGAGAUAGCUGGUUCUCCCCGAAAGCUAUUUAGGUAGCGCCUCGUGAAUUCAUCUCCGGGGGUAGAGCACUGUUUCGGCAAGGGGGUCAUCCCGACUUACCAACCCGAUGCAAACUGCGAAUACCGGAGAAUGUUAUCACGGGAGACACACGGCGGGUGCUAACGUCCGUCGUGAAGAGGGAAACAACCCAGACCGCCAGCUAAGGUCCCAAAGUCAUGGUUAAGUGGGAAACGAUGUGGGAAGGCCCAGACAGCCAGGAUGUUGGCUUAGAAGCAGCCAUCAUUUAAAGAAAGCGUAAUAGCUCACUGGUCGAGUCGGCCUGCGCGGAAGAUGUAACGGGGCUAAACCAUGCACCGAAGCUGCGGCAGCGACGCUUAUGCGUUGUUGGGUAGGGGAGCGUUCUGUAAGCCUGCGAAGGUGUGCUGUGAGGCAUGCUGGAGGUAUCAGAAGUGCGAAUGCUGACAUAAGUAACGAUAAAGCGGGUGAAAAGCCCGCUCGCCGGAAGACCAAGGGUUCCUGUCCAACGUUAAUCGGGGCAGGGUGAGUCGACCCCUAAGGCGAGGCCGAAAGGCGUAGUCGAUGGGAAACAGGUUAAUAUUCCUGUACUUGGUGUUACUGCGAAGGGGGGACGGAGAAGGCUAUGUUGGCCGGGCGACGGUUGUCCCGGUUUAAGCGUGUAGGCUGGUUUUCCAGGCAAAUCCGGAAAAUCAAGGCUGAGGCGUGAUGACGAGGCACUACGGUGCUGAAGCAACAAAUGCCCUGCUUCCAGGAAAAGCCUCUAAGCAUCAGGUAACAUCAAAUCGUACCCCAAACCGACACAGGUGGUCAGGUAGAGAAUACCAAGGCGCUUGAGAGAACUCGGGUGAAGGAACUAGGCAAAAUGGUGCCGUAACUUCGGGAGAAGGCACGCUGAUAUGUAGGUGAAGUCCCUCGCGGAUGGAGCUGAAAUCAGUCGAAGAUACCAGCUGGCUGCAACUGUUUAUUAAAAACACAGCACUGUGCAAACACGAAAGUGGACGUAUACGGUGUGACGCCUGCCCGGUGCCGGAAGGUUAAUUGAUGGGGUCAGCGCAAGCGAAGCUCUUGAUCGAAGCCCCGGUAAACGGCGGCCGUAACUAUAACGGUCCUAAGGUAGCGAAAUUCCUUGUCGGGUAAGUUCCGACCUGCACGAAUGGCGUAAUGAUGGCCAGGCUGUCUCCACCCGAGACUCAGUGAAAUUGAACUCGCUGUGAAGAUGCAGUGUACCCGCGGCAAGACGGAAAGACCCCGUGAACCUUUACUAUAGCUUGACACUGAACAUUGAGCCUUGAUGUGUAGGAUAGGUGGGAGGCUUUGAAGUGUGGACGCCAGUCUGCAUGGAGCCGACCUUGAAAUACCACCCUUUAAUGUUUGAUGUUCUAACGUUGACCCGUAAUCCGGGUUGCGGACAGUGUCUGGUGGGUAGUUUGACUGGGGCGGUCUCCUCCUAAAGAGUAACGGAGGAGCACGAAGGUUGGCUAAUCCUGGUCGGACAUCAGGAGGUUAGUGCAAUGGCAUAAGCCAGCUUGACUGCGAGCGUGACGGCGCGAGCAGGUGCGAAAGCAGGUCAUAGUGAUCCGGUGGUUCUGAAUGGAAGGGCCAUCGCUCAACGGAUAAAAGGUACUCCGGGGAUAACAGGCUGAUACCGCCCAAGAGUUCAUAUCGACGGCGGUGUUUGGCACCUCGAUGUCGGCUCAUCACAUCCUGGGGCUGAAGUAGGUCCCAAGGGUAUGGCUGUUCGCCAUUUAAAGUGGUACGCGAGCUGGGUUUAGAACGUCGUGAGACAGUUCGGUCCCUAUCUGCCGUGGGCGCUGGAGAACUGAGGGGGGCUGCUCCUAGUACGAGAGGACCGGAGUGGACGCAUCACUGGUGUUCGGGUUGUCAUGCCAAUGGCACUGCCCGGUAGCUAAAUGCGGAAGAGAUAAGUGCUGAAAGCAUCUAAGCACGAAACUUGCCCCGAGAUGAGUUCUCCCUGACUCCUUGAGAGUCCUGAAGGAACGUUGAAGACGACGACGUUGAUAGGCCGGGUGUGUAAGCGCAGCGAUGCGUUGAGCUAACCGGUACUAAUGAACCGUGAGGCUUAACCUUACAACGCCGAAGCUGUU
rnacentral:rRNA from 1 species